GGUUAAGUUAGAAAGGGCGCACGGUGGAUGCCUUGACACUAGGAGUCGAUGAAGGACGGGACUAACGCCGAUAUGCUUCGGGGAGCUGUAAGUAAGCUUUGAUCCGAAGAUUUCCGAAUGGGGAAACCCACCAUACGUAAUGGUAUGGUAUCCUUAUCUGAAUACAUAGGGUAAGGAAGACAGACCCAGGGAACUGAAACAUCUAAGUACCUGGAGGAAGAGAAAGCAAAUGCGAUUUCCUGAGUAGCGGCGAGCGAAACGGAACAUAGCCCAAACCAAGAGGCUUGCCUCUUGGGGUUGUAGGACAUUCUAUACGGAGUUACAAAGGAACGAGGUAGACGAAGCGACCUGGAAAGGUCCGUCGUAGAGGGUAACAACCCCGUAGUCGAAACUUCGUUCUCUCUUGAAUGUAUCCUGAGUACGGCGGAACACGUGAAAUUCCGUCGGAAUCUGGGAGGACCAUCUCCCAAGGCUAAAUACUCCCUAGUGAUCGAUAGUGAACCAGUACCGUGAGGGAAAGGUGAAAAGCACCCCGGAAGGGGAGUGAAAGAGAUCCUGAAACCGUGUGCCUACAAAUAGUCAGAGCCCGUUAACGGGUGAUGGCGUGCCUUUUGUAGAAUGAACCGGCGAGUUACGAUCCCGUGCGAGGUUAAGCUGAAGAGGCGGAGCCGCAGCGAAAGCGAGUCUGAAUAGGGCGUUUAGUACGUGGUCGUAGACCCGA
rnacentral:rRNA from 1 species